UACGAAGGACCCGAGCGUUAUCCGGAUUUAUUGGGUUUAAAGGGUGCGUAGGCGGAUUAGCAAGUCAGUGGUGAAAGCCCAUCGCUUAACGGUGGAAUUGCCAUUGAUACUGCUAGUCUUGAGUAUGGUUGAGGUGGGCGGAAUGUGUCAUGUAGCGGUGAAAUGCUUAGAUAUGACCCAGAACACCAAUUGCGAAGGCAGCUCGCUAAACCAUAACUGACGCUGAUGCACGAAAGCGUGGGGAGCAAACAGG
rnacentral:rRNA from 1 species